CCUACGGGCGGCAGCAGUGGGGAAUAUUGCACAAUGGGGGAAACCCUGAUGCAGCGACGCCGCGUGUGGGAAGACGGUCUUCUGGAUUGUAAACCACUGUCCCCAGGGACGAAAAUGACGGUACCUGGGGAGGAAGCUCCGGCUAACUACGUGCCAGCAGCCGCGGUAAUACGUAGGGAGCAAGCGUUGUCCGGAAUUACUGGGUGUAAAGGGAGCGUAGGCGGGGAUGCAGGUUGGGUGUCAAAACUACCGGCUAAACCGAUAGUCGCACUCAAAACUGCAACUCUUGAGUGAAGUAGAGGCAGGCGGAAUGCCUAGUGUAGCGGUGAAAUGCGUAGAUAUUAGGAGGAACACCAGUGGCGAAGGCGGCCUGCUGGGCUUUUACUGACGCUGAGGCUCGAAAGUGUGGGGAGCAAACAGGAUUAGAUACCCUAGUAGUC
rnacentral:rRNA from 1 species